rnacentral:lncRNA from 1 species
UAGGUGUUGUCAGAAAAAUCCAAAUCUAGCGAGAAACAUAACAAAUCCAGCCAACCUAUUUUGCAUCCCUGUCAUGGUUGUAUGUCCAGAUCCAUAAGAGAUCUGGUUUUUGUUGAAGUUCUGGUCAUGUGCCUUGCUACUUUGUAAAUUUGGUCGAAUCUCUGAAGUUUGACACCCAAGAAAAACACUUAAUAUAAUCCGAAGACUCGUCUAGUACAGUUUCAGUUUGCCGGAAUUCAAGACCUCGCCGGAGAACAUCAUACAUCAUUGAUAUAACACGAAAUGUAAGCUCUAAUCUAUGUCUUUCUCUUCGUCUUUCUCAUAGAAUCAAAACUCCUAUCUUUAUUUCUGUGAACGACCUUUAUGAGGAAUGAAUUGGAAGGUUAAAGGGGGUUAGGGUUCGUAUUGUAUUGUUUGAAGAAGAGGUAUGACAGUGGAGGUGGUCGGCAUUAGGUGGGAGUGGGAAGGGACUAAAUACCUUAUACCAAAAGGUAGCAAGCAUUCAUAUAUGUUAACAGAUAAACUGAAUGAACAGUGUUAAACACUGCUCAUUGGAGGAUCUAGGCGGUGACGAGUCAUCACCACAUAAACACCUGCCCUAAUUUACCACCAUCGAGUCAUCCAUGAAACCCAAGUCAUACAUAUCUUGAUUGGUUCACAAGGGCGGUGCCUUCACCCCUCCAGUCCAUAUUUAAGGUGGUGAGAAAGAGGUGUCGAUUGAUGAUGGUGGAACGGUUAACGGAGGAGCACCGCCGCCCCUUCUGUCCAUCUUGUCUGAUCGACGCCUAUCCUGUCUUCAAUCUCCUCGGCUGAGCGCCUGUUUAGUGAAUACCUGUCGUUGCCGGCGGCCAUUUGAGUCUGAUUCUGGCAGCAACGGCUAUUCCGAUGGAGACCUAUUGUUGCCGGCGGCCAUUUGAGUCUGUUUCUAGCGGCGACGGCCUUCAGAUUUCUCCAUGAACUCUUUGGAUCUGUAAAGCCUAAAGAAUUUCUGGUGUAAAACCCUAAGUCUACUAUGAAUUUCUAGGGGUGGAGUUUAAUUGUUGAUAUCCAGUAAUCUUGAUUAUUGGGUUCUGAAAUAUGAAAUCCGGUGAUCAUGAAGUUGUAAAGGUGGAAUCUUUGCAUGUUAGGAGGUCUUUGUUCCUGAAUGGGGUCUUUGAUUUGUGUUGUUGUAGUCUUUGUAUCUAAAUGGGGAAUUUGAUUGUACCACCGUUUCGAGACCGUAAGUUAGUCUUUGUUUUUGCAACCUCCGUUGCAGCCAUUAUCAACCAGUUGAACUUCACCCGACCUGUUGGAAUUAAGGGUAUAUGGAACUGAAAGUUAUAUUUGGUCGUUGCGUACCGAGUUCGUUUGCUGGCUAUGAUGACUUUGGUAAAAAAAAAGUUGAGGUUUGAUGUUGCAUAGCAAGGAUGGCGAGUGCAGUUUUUGCUAUUAGCAACCUGUUAUGCAGCUAUGACAACCUCAAUACCUAUCCUGAGCCGUCUAUUACAAGUCAUUAAAAAACCAAAAGGAGUUCCAAUUCCAUAAACGACCUCAUUAAAAUGAGUGAAUCAUUUCCGUUUGAAUGGAUCAGUAAAAAUGGAAAGAAGGGUUUCAUGUAACUUCAAUGACUACAGCUAGCAGUCGUUGGGGUGUUGUGAUGUCAACAAACGCAAGAUUUUUUUACCAGGUCCUGGUUGUUCGUCAGUUGUAGAAAGGGCAUAGCUGGAAAACGGGUUGGAUCCGCAAUUUAGUUUUGGGAUUACUUCGAGAAGAUAUGCAAGUUUGUGUUUAUUCAUUAAUUUAAUUGUUAAGUGUAGCAUAAUUGUUAUUUCAUGAAACUUUGCAAUUUCAAGAGAAUGACACUGCUUGGACGCGCUUUUAGUGUUACCUGAGGCAUGUGACUUUCAUUUCUAUAGCUAUUGACACAGGUCACAACUUAUGCUGGUAUUGCAUGGCUUUUUUUUUUAAUCAAUGACAGCCUGUAAUU